UCAGUGAGGGGCGCGGCCGCCGGUGACCUCGGUCACGGGAGGAAAGUCCGAGCUCCGCAGGGCAGGGUGCUGGUUAACGGCCAGUCGAGGUGACUUGCAGGACAGUGCCACAGAAAACACACCGCCUCUCAGCCGUCCGCUUCGGCGGGCGGGGACGAGGUAAGGUCGAACCGGUGCGGCAAGAGCGCACUCCACCCCGGGUGACCGGGGUGCGCGGUAAACCCCACCUGGAGCAAGGCCGAAUAGGGACCCCCGCCGGGCACUUCGGUGUUCGGUAACAGGUUGCCCGCCUGCGGGUCCGGGUAGAGGCUGCUGGAGCGCGUCGGCAACGGCGGGCCUAGAGGAAUGGUCGCGGUCGUCCACCUCGGUGGGCGGCACAAAACUCGGCUUACAACCUCACUGGCGUC
rnacentral:RNase_P_RNA from 1 species